rnacentral:rRNA from 1 species
GUGGGGAAUAUUGGACAAUGGGCGAAAGCCUGAUCCAGCCAUGCCGCGUGUGUGAAGAAGGUCUUCGGAUUGUAAAGCACUUUAAGUUGGGAGGAAGGGCAGUAAGUUAAUACCUUGCUGUUUUGACGUUACCAACAGAAUAAGCACCGGCUAACUUCGUGCCAGCAGCCGCGGUAAUACGAAGGGUGCAAGCGUUAAUCGGAAUUACUGGGCGUAAAGCGCGCGUAGGUGGUUCAGCAAGUUGGAGGUGAAAACCCCGGGCUCAACCUGGGAACUGCAUCCAAAACUACUGAGCUAGAGUACGGUAGAGGGUAGUGGAAUUUCCUGUGUAGCGGUGAAAUGCGUAGAUAUAGGAAGGAACACCAGUGGCGAAGGCGACUACCUGGACUGAUACUGACACUGAGGUGCGAAAGCGUGGGGAGCAAACAGGAUUAGAAACCCCAGUAGUCC